CCUACGGGCGGCAGCAGUAGGGAAUAUUGCUCAAUGGGGGAAACCCUGAAGCAGCAACGCCGCGUGGAGGAUGAAGGUUUUAGGAUUGUAAACUCCUUUUGUUAGAGAAGAUUAUGACGGUAUCUAACGAAUAAGCACCGGCUAACUCCGUGCCAGCAGCCGCGGUAAUACGGAGGGUGCAAGCGUUACUCGGAAUCACUGGGCGUAAAGAGUGCGUAGGCGGGGUAAUAAGUCAGAUGUGAAAUCCUGUAGCUUAACUACAGAACUGCAUUUGAAACUGUUACUCUGGAGUGUGGGAGAGGUAGGGGGAAUGCUUGGUGUAGGGGUAAAAUGCGUAGAGAUCAAGAGGAAUACUCAUUGCGAAGGCGACCUGCUGGAACAUUACUGACGCUGAUGCACGAAAGCGUGGGGAGCAAACAGGAUUAGAUACCCCAGUAGUC
rnacentral:rRNA from 1 species